AACGGUCCUAAGGUAGCGAAAUUCCUUGUCGGGUAAGUUCCGACCCGCACGAAAGGCGUAACGAUUUGGGCACUGUCUCAACGAGAGACUCGGUGAAAUCAUAGUACCUGUGAAGAUGCAGGUUACCCGCGACAGGACGGAAAGACCCCGUGGAGCUUUACUGUAGCCUGAUAUUGAAAUUCGGCACAGCUUGUACAGGAUAGGUAGGAGCCUUUGAAACGUGAGCGCUAGCUUACGUGGAGGCGCUGGUGGGAUACUACCCUAGCUGUGUUGGCUUUCUAACCCGCACCACUUAUCGUGGUGGGAGACAGUGUCAGGCGGGCAGUUUGACUGGGGCGGUCGCCUCCUAAAAGGUAACGGAGGCGCUCAAAGGUUCCCUCAGAAUGGUUGGAAAUCAUUCAUAGAGUGUAAAGGCAUAAGGGAGCUUGACUGCGAGACCUACAAGUCGAGCAGGGUCGAAAGACGGACUUAGUGAUCCGGUGGUUCCGCAUGGAAGGGCCAUCGCUCAACGGAUAAAAGCUACCCCGGGGAUAACAGGCUUAUCUCCCCCAAGAGUUCACAUCGACGGGGAGGUUUGGCACCUCGAUGUCGGCUCAUCGCAUCCUGGGGCUGUAGUCGGUCCCAAGGGUUGGGCUGUUCGCCCAUUAAAGCGGUACGCGAGCUGGGUUCAGAACGUCGUGAGACAGUUCGGUCCCUAUCCGUCGUGGGCGUAGGAAAUUUGAGAGGAGCUGUCCUUAGUACGAGAGGACCGGGAUGGACAUACCUCUGGUGUACCAGUUGUCGUGCCAACGGCAUAGCUGGGUAGCUAUGUGUGGACGGGAUAAGUGCUGAAAGCAUCUAAGCAUGAAGCCCCCCUCAAGAUGAGAUUUCCCAACUUCGGUUAUAAGAUCCCUCAAAGAUGAUGAGGUUAAUAGGUUCGAGGUGGAAGCAUGGUGACAUGUGGAGCUGACGAAUACUAA
rnacentral:rRNA from 1 species